rnacentral:misc_RNA from 1 species
AAGUCGUAACAAUGUUUCCGUAGGUGAACCUGCGGAAGGAUCAUUAACACGUAUCCAAACGUUAAAACCCCCCGUGAACAUUGAUUCCUGCUCUUGUAACCCGCGAAGCUUGCAGGGUUGUAAGGGGGCAAGGGGACCCUUUGGCCCAGCUCCUGCCCGCGAGGUGCGGUCUACAAGAAUCGUGAAGCGUUAUCCUUGCACAAUCACUGACACUUUCAGACACUGACUGCUUGGGGAAACAAGGCCUAUAGAACUACCGCUCGAAUUGUAACUGUUCCAAUUUUCGCACGGGCCAGAGGUCUCAAUCAAAACUACUUUCGGGCUAUGAUUUACCAGAGAUUCACAGUUAAAUGUGAAGCUCAAUGUAAUACAUUGGGUAAAAAACCGAACAACUGUUAACAAUGGAUAUCUUGGUUCUC